rnacentral:rRNA from 1 species
GACGAACGCUGGCGGCGUGCUUAACACAUGCAAGUCGAACGGAAAGGCCCUGCUUUUGUGGGGUGCUCGAGUGGCGAACGGGUGAGUAACACGUGAGUAACCUGCCCUUGACUUUGGGAUAACUUCAGGAAACUGGGGCUAAUACCGGAUAGGAGCUCCUGCUGCAUGGUGGGGGUUGGAAAGUUUCGGCGGUUGGGGAUGGACUCGCGGCUUAUCAGCUUGUUGGUGGGGUAGUGGCUUACCAAGGCUUUGACGGGUAGCCGGCCUGAGAGGGUGACCGGCCACAUUGGGACUGAGAUACGGCCCAGACUCCUACGGGGGGCAGCAGGGGGGAAUAUUGCACAAUGGGCGGAAGCCUGGUGCAGCAACGCCGGGUGGGGGAGGACGGCCUUCGGGUUGUAAACCGCUUUCGCCUGUGACGAAGCGUGAGUGACGGUAAUGGGUAAAGAAGCACCGGCUAACUACGU